rnacentral:lncRNA from 1 species
CUGCGUUAGUUGUCUGGAUGCCCAAUAUGAUACGUGGGGGAUCCCUAAAACACUUUUAAUCUCAUCCUAAAAUUGAUAUCCAAGUGGGCCAUUUGUUCAUGUUUCUUUUUUCUGAAAGCAAAGGGAGGCAAGACCAACUGACUCACAUCUGGAUGCCUGCACUGCAUGAAUCUUCAUGUUUAGGUGAUAUGGACACCAAUGGGAGUGAUAUGGCUAAUAUCCCAUCCGGCUGCAUUUGCUCUCAUCCCCAGUGCUGUGGUACUCAUUUAUAGCCAAGUUGACUGGAAGUGAUGCUUGGAAUGAGUCCAGGAAAAGGCAUGAACUCACACCUCUGGAUCCAUACCAAGACACCUUCACUGCUCUAUCAUCAUUCUCCUCAGAGGGAUGUAAUGAGGAUACAUUAAUUAAUGUUUAUGAACUGCUUCAGUGCUGCCAUAUUUAGACUGUUAAAGUUGCAUCUGUAGGAAUAAAACCACAGUCAGUAAUUCUACCUGCA